UUUUGGACAAUGGGCGCAAGCCUGAUCCAGCCAUUCCGCGUGAGUGAAGAAGGCCUUCGGGUUGUAAAGCUCUUUCGCAAGGGAACACCCCCUUACUUUCUAAUAAAGAGUGAGGUUGACGGUACCUUGAUAAGAAGCACCGGCUAACUACGUGCCAGCAGACGCGGUAAUACGUAGGGUGCGAGCGUUAAUCGGAAUUACUGGGCGUAAGGCGUGCGCAGGCGGCUUUGUAAGUCAGAUGUGAAAUCCCCGAGCUCAACUUGGGAACUGCGUUUGAAACUACAAGGCUAGAAUAUGUCAGAGGGGGGUAGAAUUCCACGUGUAGCAGUGAAAUGCGUAGAGAUGUGGAGGAAUACCAAGGCGAAGGCAGCCCCCGGGAUGAUAUUACGCUCAGCAGAA
rnacentral:rRNA from 1 species